rnacentral:misc_RNA from 1 species
GAUGAAGAACGUAGCGAAAUGCGAUAAGUAAUGUGAAUUGCAGAAUUCAGUGAAUCAUCGAAUCUUUGAACGCGCAUUGCGCCGGCCAGUAGUCUGGCGGGCAUGCCUGUUCGAGCGUCAUUACAACCCUCAGGCCCCCGGGCCUGGCGUUGGGGAUCGGCGGAGCCCCCCGUGGGCACACGCCGUCCCCCAAAUGCAGUGGCGGUCCCGCCGCAGCUUCCAUCGCGUAGUAGCUAACACCUCGCGACUGGAGAGCGGCGCGGCCACGCCGUAAAACACCCAACUCUUCUGAAGUUGACCUCGAAUCAGGUAGGAAUACCCGCUGAACUUAAGCAUAUCAAUAAGCGGAGGA